UGUAAGGGUGUUAAGUUUUCAAGUAGUAAAAACUUCAAUAGUCACAUUGGAGGGAGUUGUUUUGUCUUUUUGUGGAAAUUUUAUUGCACUACAGUUCAAGGUAAGAGUUUGUUAUGAAACACUUGGUGUUAAUCAUACACUGUGGACUUGUAUAUUCUUCUUGUAUUAGUCGAUAGUGUGAAGAUGCUGCUAGUUCUGCUGUGUAGAUGGUUAACCAUGACAGUUUAUUUACAAGCAUGCAAGAGGAUGCAAAAACUGAAGAGUGUUAUAAACAUUCCAUGGUAAAGAGCACUUACCCACUUAGGAAUCUACUCAGAUAUAAGAAUUUAUAUAUGAAAGCUAUAAAAUUCUUUGGGUAAUCAUGUCAUUCAUUAACUGAUACAGAAGAACAGUGUUUGUGAUUUGAUGAUUCUCAGGUUCUCAUAUGCAUAAGAUUAUUCUGGUUGCCUUGGAACAUACGAUACAUUUCCUGAUCUGCAUUAUAAAGUGGGAUGCUUGUUAUGUAACUUGAUUAGGACAUUAUUUCUAAUUUUUUUAAUUGUGUUCUUUCAAAUAUUCCAAAUAUACUUGUGGGAGCCACCCAUAUUGAAUCAAGUGCUAGCCGAUCAGCACGGCUAACGAGGACCUCUCCUGCCAGGUGUCAGCACUCAGCGCCAAGUGGGCCCACCCUUGCUUCAGCUCCGGGGAUCCUCACCCCAGCUCCAGGAAACACCGUCCGUGCAGCAGGUUCCUCUCCCGAGAUGAUGCUGCAUUCACCAUCGCCACUACAGAGGUCUGCCUCUUUAUUCAUUGUCAUGGUGGGCGAACCAAUGGGUAUUGGAGCUGCCAUGGCUCGGCCUGAUCAUCCAGCACUUGAUUCGAUGUGGGUGGCUCCCACGUCCUGUUGUUUUUAUGACUGUCAUUAUUUGCUUGUUGCUGCACAGGUUGAAUUAAGUAUUGAUAAUGAUGUGGCAUUGUUUUUUUCAUUCAUAAUGUUUAUGGUGAGUUCUGAUCAUUGCAUGGAAGUUACAUUAAAUAGCAUGGAAUAAGAGGAUUGUUGUGAAUGAUGAAGGGGGAAACAUAUGGAAGAGAUCAGACAUGACCUAUUUUGAAGUACUUUCCCAGCAUUUGUCUUGUAGAACUACAACUACGUGUAUUUUAAAACUAUAUUAUUUGAUGUGUGAAGUAUAGGUGCUGAAUGCCCUACUGAGAUUAGAAGUGGGUACUGUGUUUAUGACAGUCAGUUAACUUAGUACACUAACAUACUUUAUAGCACAGUAUGGAUGCUGUGAAGCCAGAGCUUGAUUCAGAUGGUGAGCUAUAGCGGUACCCCAUUUCUUUCCAAGAGGACUUUGAAUUUGUAGACAUGAAAGAUACCCCUUCUGUAUGGAAGGAAGUGAAGGUAUGUUUCUGCUCCUCACCAGUUGGAACAAAUUCCCAGGAAUGCCGAUGGAGGUGCCACUUGAUGGCUGCUUACAGGGAACACACAUGAAGCAGAUAACUACAGAGAACAUGUAUGAGAGCACAUCAGAGCAGUGGCAUUCACAUCUGCACAGAAAGUAAAUUGCCAUCCGGAAAUGGUUCAUACAGUUUCUGGAUGUGGCCAGAUUUACCAUUUUUUUUUCUCACUACUGUAUUCAAAUGAGGCAAAUAAGCUAGAAUAUGGACAACUUUAUAUUUUUGAUCCUGCUGAAGCAACAAGAUGGCUUGAAAACCAAUCAAACCAGUAGUGUAUGGCUAAAGCAAUGCAAUGAUUGAACGAGAUGCUGUGACAAGUUAACCCAUUUGCUGAAUUGUAUAAACAGAUGCAUCAGAUGGAUUGAAAUGUAUGAAAAAAAAAAAGAAAUGAAUAAAGUCUCUUCCUAGUGUUGA